rnacentral:sRNA from 2 species
AGCUUUCCGUCCGGGUCGACCUCCUCCCCGACCCCGAUGGAUCCGGUCAGCUUUCUCCUCCCAUUGAGCUGACCACCUUAACACACCCGCCGGAUCCUCCUCCCCCGGCGGGUGUCGUUA